rnacentral:rRNA from 1 species
AUUGAACGCUGGCGGCAUGCUUUACACAUGCAAGUCGAACGGUAACAGGCCGCAAGGUGCUGACGAGUGGCGAACGGGUGAGUAAUGCAUCGGAACGUGCCCAGUCGUGGGGGAUAACGCAGCGAAAGCUGCGCUAAUACCGCAUACGGUCUAUGGAUGAAAGCGGGGGACCGAAAGGCCUCGCGCGAUUGGAGCGGCCGAUGUCAGAUUAGGUAGUUGGUGGGGUAAAGGCUCACCAAGCCAACGAUCUGUAGCUGGUCUGAGAGGACGACCAGCCACACUGGGACUGAGACACGGCCCAGACUCCUACGGGAGGCAGCAGUGGGGAAUUUUGGACAACGGGCGCAAGCCUGAUCCAGCAAUGCCGCGUGCAGGAAGAAGGCCUUCGGGUUGUAAACUGCUUUUGUACGGAACGAAACGGUCCUGGUUAAUACCUGGGGCUAAUGACGGUACCGUAAGAAUAAGCACCGGCUAACUACGUGCCAGCCGCCGCCGUAACAC